AACGCGAAGAACCUUACCUGGGCUCGAAAUGUAGUGGACCGGAGUAGAAAUAUUCCUUCUCAGCAAUGGGCCGCUAUAUAGGUGCUGCAUGGCUGUCGUCAGCUCGUGUCGUGAGAUGUUGGGUUAAGUCCCGCAACGAGCGCAACCCUUAUCCCCAGUUGCCAUCAUUUAGUUGGGCACUCUGGUGAAACCGCCUCGGAUAACGGGGAGGAAGGUGGGGAUGACGUCAAGUCCUCAUGGCCUUUAUGUCCAGGGCUACACACGUGCUACAAUGGCCGGUACAAACCGUCGCAAACCCGCGAGGGGGAGCUAAUCGGAAAAAGCCGGCCUCAGUUCGGAUUGGAGUCUGCAACUCGACUCCAUGAAGCUGGAAUCGCUAGUAAUCGCGGAUCAGAACGCCGCGGUGAAUACGUUCCCGGGCCUUGUA
rnacentral:rRNA from 1 species